UACACCUACGGGAGGCAGCAGUGGGGAAUAUUGCACAAUGGGGGAAACCCUGAUACAGCGACGCCGCGUGAGAGAAGAAGUAUUUCGGUAUGUAAAGCUCUAUCAGCAGGAACGAGACAGGACGGUACCUGACUAAGAAGCCCCGGCUAACUACGUGCCAGCAGCCGCGGUAAUACGUAGGGGGCAAGCGUUAUCCGGAAUCACUGGGUGUAAAGGGAGCGUAGACGGCUGAGCAAGCCUGAAGUGAAAGGCGGGGGCCCAACCCCUGGACUGCUUUGGGAACUGUACGGCUGGAGGGCAGGAGG
rnacentral:rRNA from 1 species